rnacentral:rRNA from 1 species
AUCGAACGCUGGCGGAAUGCUUUACACAUGCAAGUCGAACGGCAGCACGGGGGCAACCCUGGUGGCGAGUGGCGAACGGGUGAGUAAUACAUCGGAACGUGCCCAGUCGUGGGGGAUAACGUAGCGAAAGUUACGCUAAUAACGCAUACGAUCUACGGAUGAAAGCGGGGGACCGUAAGGCCUCGCGCGAUUGGAGCGGCCGAUGUCAGAUUAGGUAGUUGGUGAGGUAAAGGCCCACCAAGCCGACGAGCUGUAGCUGGUCUGAGAGGGCGACCAGCCACACUGGGACUGAGACACGGCCCAGACUCCUACGGGAGGCAGCAGUGGGGAAUUUUGGACAAUGGGCGCAAGCCUGAUCCAGCCAUUCCGCGUGCAGGACGAAGGCCUUCGGGUUGUAAACUGCUUUUGUACGGAACGAAAAGGCUCUGGUUAAUACCCGGGGCUCAUGACGGUACCGUAAGAAUAAGCACCGGCUAACUACGUGCCAGCCGCCGCGGUAA